rnacentral:lncRNA from 1 species
CUAGUUUGUCCAGGAGACAGUGAUUCAUCAUUUACAAAUAGAAGAGGAUACUUUAAUAUCUUUCAAUUAGUGAAGACUGGAACAGAUAUUGGGAGUUGUCAAGUGAGUGUGGAUACAAGUAGAGCACCCCAGGGGUGUUCUUUCUUAACAGACAUAAAUGGUGGAUCAAGUGGCCAAUCUUUAAGCACAUGCACCAAUAAUGGAAAUAAGAAGUUCACUUGUGGACCCUAUUAUUUUACUCCAAAUGCUUGUUCACCUCCACCACCACCAAGUUCUCCACCUCCACCACCACCAAGUCCACCUCCUCCUCCUCCACCACCACCACGACUAAAAACUCCACCGCCACGACCUAGAAAACCACCACCACCACCCCCUAGAACACCACCCCUACCGCCGAACCCCCCCACACGAACUCCUCCACCACCACCCCCUAGAACACCACCACUACCACCAAAACCACCAAUACGAACACCACCACCACCACCUCGAACACCACCACCACUACCACCAACACCACCAACACCAACACCACCACCACCACCAACAACUCCUCCGCCACCACCACCAACAACACCACCACCACCACCACCAAGACCUCCACCACCACCACCACCAA